rnacentral:misc_RNA from 1 species
UACGGAGGGUGCAAGCGUUAUCCGGAAUCACUGGGUUUAAAGGGUGCGUAGGCGGCGUCAUAAGUCAGAGGUGAAAGCCUGCAGCUUAACUGUAGAAUUGCCUUUGAUACUGUGGUGCUUGAAUAAGGAUGAGGUAAGCGGAAUUACCAGUGUAGCGGUGGAAUGCUUAGAUAUGCCAUAGAACACCGAUUGCGAAGGCAGCUUACUGGACCUUUAUUGACGCUGAGGCACGAAAGCGUGGGGAGCGAACAGG